AAUGAACGUUGGCGGCGUGGAUUAGGCAUGCAAGUCGAGCGAGAAUUUGCGAUUGGAAGCUUCGGCCGAAGAAAGUGAAGGAAAGCGGCAAACGGCGUAGUAAGGCGUAGGUACGUACCCUCGGGUCGGGAAUAGCCAUGGGAAACUGUGGGUAAUGCCCGAUAAUCUCUGCGGAGCAAAGGUGUGAUUCCGCCGGAGGAGCGGCUUACGUGAUAUUAGCUAGUUGGUGGGGUAAUGGCCUACCAAGGCAACGAUGUCUAGGGGGUGUGAGAGCAUGGCCCCCACGACCGGAACUGAGACACUGUCCGGACACCUACGGGUGGCUGCAGUCGAGAAUCUUCCGCAAUGGGCAAAGCCUGACGGAGCGACGCCGCGUGGUGGAUGAAGGCCCUUGGGUUGUAACGACCUGUCAGAGGGGAUGAAAUCAUGGUUGGCAAUCCUUCCAUGUUGACAGAGCCUCAGAGGAAGCACGGGCUAAGUACGUGCCAGCAG
rnacentral:rRNA from 1 species